AUGUAUGACUUUGAUCCGGUGUAUGAACGGACCACCACUGCUCAACUUCAAUCAGAGUUGUAUGAUUUAAAGACUCGCCUGGAGCUGCAGGAAACUGAGACUCGGAGGGCGAACUCAAAGUUUGAAUUCAGCGUGUCUGAAAUAGAAAAACUGAAAGCCGGUUUUGAAACUAAGAAAAACGCCUGGGCUGCAGAAAAGAUUGCCUUGACCCAACGAGCUGAAAAUGCAGAGGCGGCUCUUGAAGAGGUGACAACUGAAUUGUCCGGCUUAAAAUGCCAUGUGUCUCAAAUGGUCUCAGCUAUCUUUGGUAAGUCGCCUUAUGACUGUCAAAUAUUGAAUACCCUUCUUGAUCAUAUGAACUUCCUUUAA
rnacentral:rRNA from 1 species